rnacentral:rRNA from 1 species
AACGAACGCUGGCGGCGUGCUUAACACAUAGCAAGUCGAACGCGAAAGGGACUUCGGUCCUGAGUAAAGUGGCGCACGGGUGAGUAACGCGUAGAUAACCUGUCUUCAUGUCUGGAAUAAUACGCCAAAGGGGUACUAAUACCGGAUAUUCUUGCUUUUCAUAAGUUAUGCAAGCAAAGGUGGCCUCUGCAUAUGCUACUGCAUGAAGAGGGGUCUGCGUACCAUUAGCUAGUAGGUGGGGUAAUGGCCUACCUAGGCGACGAUGGUUAGCGGGUCUGAGAGGAUGAUCCGCCACACUGGCACUGGAACACGGGCCAGACUCCUACGGGAGGCAGCAGUGAGGAAUAUUGCGCAAUGGGGGAAACCCUGACGCAGCGACGCCGCGUGAGUGAAGGAAGGCCUUCGGGUCGUAAAGCUCUGUCAAGAGGAAAGAAGUGUACAAUGGCUAAUACCUGUUGUAUUUGACGGUACCUCUAAAGGAAGCACCGGCUAACUCCGUGCCAGCCGCAGC